rnacentral:rRNA from 2 species
ACGCCGCGUGAGUGAUGAAGGCUUUCGGGUCGUAAAACUCUGUUGUUAGGGAAGAACAAGUACGAGAGUAACUGCUCGUACCUUGACGGUACCUAACCAGAAAGCCACGGCUAACUACGUGCCAGCAGCCGCGGUAAUACGUAGGUGGCAAGCGUUAUCCGGAAUUAUUGGGCGUAAAGCGCGCGCAGGCGGUUUCUUAAGUCUGAUGUGAAAGCCCACGGCUCAACCGUGGAGGGUCAUUGGAAACUGGGGAACUUGAGUGCAGAAGAGAAAAGCGGAAUUCCACGUGUAGCGGUGAAAUGCGUAGAGAUGUGGAGGAACACCAGUGGCGAAGGCGGCUUUUUGGUCUGUAACUGACGCUGAGGCGCGAAAGCGUGGGGAGCAAACAGGAUUAGAUACCCUGGUAGUCCACGCCGUAAACGAUGAGUGCUAAGUGUUAGAGGGUUUCCGCCCUUUAGUGCUGCACUAAACGCAUUAAGCACUC